GUGAAUCCAGGGUCCACAGCCUCAGCAGCAUGCCCGCUCUGGGGUCCAGCAGCCGGAUCGCUCUCCAGAAAGUGCCACAGGAAGCAGACGUCAUCCUGACCUGGCAAGCACUUUGGGGUGUCACCCGCAGCCGAAUCAGCAGCUUCCUGGCCACGUGGUCCGGCCACCGUCACAGCGCAAGCACAGCUUUGUCGCGAGCUUUACAAAAUGAACACUUCCCCUACCAUCAAAUGGCUCACCCACGUCCAAUUAGUAAUCGGGGUCUUGUCUUCCAGGAUCUAUAUGUUGAGAUGCUCUCACCAGAGGUGUUUAACCACCUAUUUGUGCUGCUCAGAGACAGACCUGCCGGUGUAACUCAGCACCAAGUUCCAUGGCCUCGGGGACGUGUUGCCUGGCAAAUCUAAUAAACUCAACCUGUUCUUUACAAUGAGGGUGACCUCUUAGCAAUAAAUGGCAAAGCAACUGCUGAUGUUUUCAAAGAAGCAGAGGCUAAACGCAA